GCGGGCAUAGCUCAGGGGUAGAGCACAACCUUGCCAAGGUUGGGGUCGAGGGUUCGAAUCCCUUUGCCCGCU
rfam:Zymomonas mobilis subsp. mobilis ZM4, complete genome.